CCUCCUUCUUUAUCUUUCUCCAGCUAACGUUAGUUCAGUGCUGUUAGCUCGGAAAGACACCGCAUAAAUGAGUCGCAAAACGAAAAAAAAGAUGCGCAAAGGUGACGCGGUUUACUACAGAAUCUCUUCCUGAAGGAGGGAACUUUAAAAAAACAAAACAAAACUACGCGACGUGACGUUAGAGACCAAAAAGUCUGUCGCGUGCAGCAGCUCAAGUACAGAAAUGCAUCAAGGAGAUUCUAGAUGACUCGUCCAGAAUGGAACAAACUUCUGCUUCCUGCUCACGGAGACCUGGUUGGACUUGUUCAGCUUCACACAGUAUACAUAAAGUUGAUCUUCAUGAAGAUCUUCAAACAGU